AGACCUUGGGAGUUUCGUUCAUGGCAGGAACAGGUCCUUCAGCCACAUUAUUCGUCUUCGAUUGCCCUGGCUGAAGUAAAGUUGCUUUAAGGGAUAAUUUAAUGUUACCACGAACAUCCCGCCCUAUGCACAUCAAAGAAAGCUGCUGACCAACAGAUACUACAUCUGAAACCUUAGAGACCGGUUCAUGUGACAACUCGGAAA
rnacentral:misc_RNA from 1 species